GCGCCGAAAGAGUGCCUCGCGGCCUAUCAGCUAGUUGGUGGGGUAAUGGCCCACCAAGGCGACGACGGGUAGCUGGUCUGAGAGGAUGGCCAGCCACAUUGGGACUGAGACACGGCCCAG
rnacentral:rRNA from 1 species